rnacentral:rRNA from 1 species
AAUCCAUAGGUUAAUGAGGCGAACCGGGGGAACUGAAACAUCUAAGUACCCCGAGGAAAAGAAAUCAACCGAGAUUCCCCCAGUAGCGGCGAGCGAACGGGGAGGAGCCCAGAGCCUGAAUCAGCAUGUGUGUUAGUGGAAGCGUCUGGAAAGGCGCGCGAUACAGGGUGACAGCCCCGUACACAAAAGCGCAUGUGCUGUGAGCUCGAUGAGUAGGGCGGGACACGUGGUAUCCUGUCUGAAUAUGGGGGGACCAUCCUCCAAGGCUAAAUACUCCUGACUGACCGAUAGUGAACCAGUACCGUGAGGGAAAGGCGAAAAGAACCCCGGCGAGGGGAGUGAAAAAGAACCUGAAACCGUGUACGUACAAGCAGUGGGAGCACAGGUUUACCUGUGUGACUGCGUACCUUUUGUAUAAUGGGUCAGCGACUUAUAUUCUGUAGCAAGGUUAACCGAAUAGGGGAGCCGGAGGGAAACCGAGUCUUAAUUGGGCGUUAAGUUGCAGGGUAUAGACCCGAAACCCGGUGAUCUAGCCAUGGGCAGGUUGAAGGUUGGGUAACACUAACUGGAGGACCGAACCGACUAAUGUUGAAAAAUUAGCGGAUGACCUGUGGCUGGGGGUGAAAGGCCAAUCAAACCGGGAGAUAGCUGGUUC